AUGGGUAGGGGAGCGUCGUGUGUGGGGUGAAGCAGGGGAGUGAUCCGUUGUGGACUGCACACGAGUGAGAAUGCAGGCAUGAGUAGCGAAUGACGGGGGAGGAACCCGUCCGCCGAAUGACCAAGGGUUCCAGGGCUAGGUUCAUCCGCCCUGGGUAAGUCGGGACCUAAGGCGAGGCCGACAGGCGUAGUCGAUGGACAACGGGUUGAUAUUCCCGUACCGGCGUAGAACCGUCCAUGGUGAGGCCGGGGAUGCUAAGCACCCUAAGCCGCACUGACCUUCGGGUUGGUGUUGGUGGAGCGUGUGACCCGAUCCGGUAGUAGUCAAGCGUAGUAACAGGGGUGACGCAGGAGGGUAGCUUCCGCGUGGCGAUGGUUGUCCACGUCCAAGGGUGUAGGGCGUGCUGUAGGUAAAUCCGC
rnacentral:rRNA from 1 species